rnacentral:lncRNA from 1 species
UGCUGACGAAAACAACUAUAUUGUUGUACGAAAACAACUAUAUUGCUGUACGAAAACAACUAUAUUGUUGUAAACAACUAUUAAAUUGUCGAAACAACUAUUAAAUUGUCGAAAUCGACUGCAAAAAGUCGAAACUAACUACAAUUUAUAGAGAUCAACUAGAAAAGAAAACACCCCAAUUGCAACAAAAACUACUAUAUAAUCGAGCAGUUACAUCUAGAAAAACACGAUCUUCCCCCAAUCCAUGGGCAAAAAUCCUUCAACUAAGAAAAAAUUAAAUUGAACCACCACAAAAUGAAUAAACUCUGCAAAAAGCUUCCGCCUCGAAUCCCAUAUUCUCUUUAUGAAAGGUCCGAAUUUCCUCCCCUUGGCGCUGAAAAAUGAAUAGGCAUGAAUUUAUGAGUAAGCUAGUAAAUUGUCGGAUUAUGAAAAUUAAAUAAAAUCGACUAUAGAGCAUAAACAAUAAAUCAAUAUACUCUCUUAUGCUAAUCAACUAAGAAACAGAAAAUUCCAUGAAAAAAAUACUAAAGCAACAAUAAAAUUCACUAAUACAAUUACAAAACAAAACUCCGUCAAUUCACUAAAGCAACAAUAAAAUUCCCAAAUUAAACUACACACAAAAAUCUAUCAAUAUACUGAAACAAUAAUAAAACUCCAACUACAAUCAUGUACACAUACAGCAUAAAAAUCACCAACCUUAGACAAACAACAUAAAACAAAAUUGAAUCAAAACGGCAAUUAACUCACCAGAGAUAAUUGAUCUACUGUCGAUGAAGUCGUACUGCCUCUCCAGAUCAUCGAGAAUUGUAGCGGCGGCGGGAUCACAGACCGGCGUCGGAGACGAGCGAUGACGAUAGAGAGGGAUCUACAACCAGAUUUGUCGCACGGUUCCGAUGUUGUAGUGGCGACGACGCUGUGAAAUCGGAGAUGGUGGCGGCGGUGGCGACGGCUGAAUCUGUGGAAGAUGGGGAUAUGCGUGAAGAGAGAGAAAAGAGAGGCUAAGAGAGAGUGAGAAAUAAAUAAUAG